rnacentral:rRNA from 1 species
UACGUAGGUGACCAGCGUUGUCCGGAUUUACUGGGCGUAAAGAGCGCGAAGGCGGUCGUUCAAGUCGAGUGUGAAAGCCCCCGGCUCAACUGGGGAGGGUCAUUCGAUACUGAUCGACUGGAAGGCAGGAGAGGGAAGCGGAAUUCCCGGUGUAGUGGUGAAAUGCGUAGAUAUCGGGAGGAACACCAGUGGCGAAGGCGGCUUCCUGGCCUGUUCUUGACUCUGAGGCGCGAAAGCUAGGGGAGCAAACGGG